rnacentral:rRNA from 1 species
GAUGAACGCUGGCGGCGUGCCUAAUACAUGCCAGUCGAGCGAACGGACGAGAAGCUUGCUUCUCUGAUGUUAGCGGCGGACGGGUGAGUAACACGUGGAUAACCUACCUAUAAGACUGGGAUAACUUCGGGACACCGGAGCUAAUACCGGAUGAUAUUUUGAACCGCAUGGUUCAAAAGUGAAAGACGGUCUUGCUGUCACUUAUAGAUGGAUCCGCGCUGCAUUAGCUAGUUGGUAAGGUAACGGCUUACCAAGGCAACGAUGCAUAGCCGACCUGAGAGGGUGAUCGGCCACACUGGAACUGAGACACGGUCCAGACUCCUACGGGAGGCAGCAGUAGGGAAUCUUCCGCAAUGGGCGAAAGCCUGACGGAGCAACGCCGCGUGAGUGAUGAAGGUCUUCGGAUCGUAAAACUCUGUUAUUAGGGAAGAACAUAUGUGUAAGUAACUGUGCACAUCUUGACGGUACCUAAUCAGAAAGCCACGGCUAACUACGUG